rnacentral:rRNA from 1 species
UAUCUCUGUAGAGUCUGCAUAUCAAUAAGCGGAGGAAAAGAAACUAACUAAGGAUUCCCUUAGUAACGGCGAGUGAAGCGGGAAGAGCUCAAAUUUGAAAUCUUCAAGAUUUUACCUUGACGAAUUGUAGUUUAAAGAAGUGUUUUCUGUUGAGUGUUUCGGUAAAAGUUCUUUGGAAUAGGACAUCAUAGAGGGUGAGAAUCCCGUAUUUGACCAUUAUUUCCAGCUGUGUGAUACACUUUCAAAGAGUCGGAUUGUUUGGGAAUGCAGUCCAAAAUGGGUGGUAAAUUUCAUCUAAAGCUAAAUACUGGCGAGAGACCGAUAGCGAACAAGUACCGUGAGGGAAAGAUGAAAAGAACUUUGAAAAGAGAGUUAAACAGUACGUGAAAUUGUCAAAAGGGAAGCGUUUGACACCAGUGUUGUUUUCUCGAAAAUCAAUUAAAAAAGGCAGGAUUUUGUGUUGUAUUGACUUUAUCAGCUUUCUGCACUCUUUUCUUGUCUUUUUUUAAUGCACUUUUCGUUUAACAAGUCAACAUCAAUUUCUUUUGUUGUAAAAGGGUCAUUGGAAGGUGGCUUUCUUUUCGGAGAAAGUGUUUAUAGCCUUUGGCCUCUGCAAUCGGAGAGAUUGAGGUCUGCAGCGUAGAUCCUUCGGGGUUAGAUACAUUUGUGCUAAGUUAUAGCCUUUCAUAGACAACUUGUUGACUAUGAUCAGUCAUGUAGCUUACUCGCUUAUGCUAUUUUACCUACGCUUAGGAUGUUGAUAGUCACAGCGUGUAC